GACGAACGCUGGCGGCGUGCCUAACACAUGCAAGUCGAGCGGGGUUGAAGCGAGAGGUAACUCGAACUUCUACCUAGCGGCGGACGGGUGAGUAACGCGUGGGCAACCUGCCUCAAGGUCUGGGAUAACAGCCCGAAAGGGCUGCUAAUACUGGGUAUGCUUGUGGCCUCGCAUGGGGCUAUGAGCAAAGGGGAAACCCGCCUUGAGAUGGGCCCGCGUCCCAUCAGCUAGUUGGUGAGGUAACAGCUCACCAAGGCGACGACGGGUAGCCGGCCUGAGAGGGUGACCGGCCACACUGGGACUGAGACACGGCCCAGACUCCUACGGGGGGCAGCAGUGGGGGAUCUUGCACAAUGGGCGAAAGCCUGAUGCAGCGACGCCGCGUGAGCGAAGAAGGCCUUCGGGUUGUAAAGCUCUGUCUGGAGGGACGAAGGAAGUGACGGUACCUCCGGAGGAAGCCACGGCUAACUACGUGCCAGCAGCCGCGGUAAGAUCACGUGUAC
rnacentral:rRNA from 1 species